CUAGACUCUUCCAGCGUAUCGGCUGUUAGGAUCCCCUCCUGGAAGCCGGCGCUCAGCCUUCGCUCCCCUCCCUUGCCCCAUCACCACUCCUUUCCCUAUCUCUCAGGGGUCGCUUCUCAGAGCUUGGUGCCCCGGCCACAUCCCCUCCCCUACACUUUGAGUCCUGGGCGGGGCCAGAGCCCCGUGGCCAAGAGAAACGCGGUCCGGGGUGGGAGCGGAGAAGGGAGAAGAAGGAGGGGAUCGCGGACACUACAGAGCCCUGGACUUGCUCCUCUCCCUCCGACCCAGAAGGAAGAGGGAAGUCAGGGAGAAUUUUAGAGGUCGCUCCAAGACCGACAAGCCCUGAAGCAGUAGCAAAUCUGCGAGGGAGACACGUGCGCACAGACACACAGGCGCACCCCUCCUAAGUGCGGGGUGGGGGCACCUAGCCCCCAGGAGUGACAGGCGGGUCUGCAUCGGCGUCCGGGAGCCUGGAGCGGGUGCAAGCCUCAGGGCCACGCAGUCCGCAGUUCCGCGGUGAGACCCGCGCGCCGGGAGCGUAUUCCUCUGCAGAGCGGCCUCUGUGCUCAGGCGCCUGCGGCAGCCGUGACACUCCUGCGCCCCCUGGUGUUUCAUCGCAGUGGCGCAACCCGGCCCCAGUUGCAGUUGGCUUGGCGGAAUUGAGAGGAGGUUGGUGGGUUGUAACCCGGGUCAGCUCCCUGUCUGGACCAACACGGUUCCUAGCCUCCACUUUCCGUGAGAGCAUUUGAGGCGGUGGGAUGUGCCUGAACAGAAGGAUUCAAAGAUCCCUCAGAGGAUUUGAGUCCUAACUCUGACAUAGACUUGCUGUGUGAUUCUAGGCAGGCUGCUGUAUCUCUCUGGGUCCCAAUUUCCCUAUCUGUGACAUGUUAGCAUACUAGGUUCAGUAAACAACCAUAUUUAUUUCUUUUAGAGCUUA